rnacentral:rRNA from 1 species
UACGAAGGGGGCUAGCGUUGUUCGGAAUUACUGGGCGUAAAGGGCGCGUAGGUGGCUUUGUAAGUCAGGAGUGAAAUCCCUGGGCUCAACCCAGGAAUUGCUUUUGAGACUACAUCGCUUGAGUACAGGAGAGGUGAGUGGAAUUCCCAGUGUAGAGGUAAAAUUCGUAGAUAUUGGGAGGGACACCAGUGGCGAAGGCGGCUCACUGGCCUGUAACUGACACUGAGGCGCGAAAGCGUGGGGAGCAAACAGG